GACAGAGGGUGCAAACGUUGUUCGGAAUUACUGGGCGUAAAGCGCGUGUAGGCGGCCAUCUAAGUCGGGCGUGAAAUCCCACGGCUCAACCGUGGAAGUGCACUCGAAACUGGAUGGCUAGAGUCCUGGAGAGGAAGGUGGAAUGCUUGGUGUAGAGGUGAAAUUCGUAGAUAUCAAGCGGAACACCGGGUGGCGAAGGCGGC
rnacentral:rRNA from 1 species